rnacentral:rRNA from 1 species
ACGGAGGGUGCGAGCGUUAAUCGGAAUUACUGGGCGUAAAGCGCGCGCAGGCGGUUCGCUAAGUCAGGUGUGAAAGCCCCGGGCUUAACCUCGGAAUUGCAUUUGAAACUGGUGAACUAGAGUGCUGCAGAGGGGGGUGGAAUUCCAGGUGUAGCGGUGAAAUGCGUAGAGAUCUGAAGGAAUACCGGUGGCGAAGGCGGCCCCCUGGGCAGACACUGACGCUCA